rnacentral:rRNA from 1 species
AACGAACGCUGGCGGCGUGCUUAACACAUGCAAGUCGAGCGGUAAGGCCCUUUCGGGGGUACACGAGCGGCGAACGGGUGAGUAACACGUGGGUGACCUGCCCUCAGCUCUGGGAUAAGCCUGGGAAACUGGGUCUAAUACUGGAUAUGACUCCACGGUGCAUGUCGUGGGGUGGAAAGCCUUGUGCGGCUGAGGAUGGGCCCGCGGCCUAUCAGCUUGUUGGUGGGGUGAGGCCUACCAAGGCGACGACGGGUAGCCGGCCUGAGAGGGCGACCGGCCACACUGGGACUGAGACACGGCCCAGACUCCUACGGGAGGCAGCAGUGGGGAAUCUUGCGCAAUGGGCGAAAGCCUGACGCAGCGACGCCGCGUGAGGGAUGACGGCCU